UAAAGUGGCAGUGUUCAGCUCUCUGGCUCAGGACGCUCCGGAGGCUCACGGCUGGGAGAUCAUCACCUCUAAAGCAAAGCGCGGCGAGCUGAACUGCUCCUCUGUGGAAAGAGGCGUCCGAGUUACAUAGCUAACGAAUCAAUCUCAAACUGGUAUUAUUGAACUUGUCAAUUUUCUUUGGAGAGGAGCAGAAUGGGCUGGCAAGCAAAUAAUUCUCAUAUGUUGUGUGGAGCCUAGGGAGGUGAAGGAUGCUGGGAAAAGAGAAAUGUCACUCAUAUACGAGAAUAAACCUCUGCAGUCCCAAAACUAUCGGAGUCAGCCUUGCAGGCAGGUAAACAAGAUUGGCAAGAACAGAAGGCGGUUGUUAAUGAGCCAUCCUGCAGCCCAGGAAGGCAGCAAAUGGUGGAGAAACCAGAAGGAGGGGAAUGGAAACCAGAUUCCCAUCAUCAAGGACCAGGAGUCACCCCUGACCCUCCUACACGGAACGAAAAGGAAGCACAUUUUGCAGGAGGAGGCUACAGCCCGUCAAACUGACUGCUCCAACACUCCACUCAGAGAGACUGUAAAGAACGGUGACGCUUGACUCACAGCCUCUGCCACCUGCCCAGACUCUCCUGCUGUCUCAGGCAAGAAAACAGGCAUGGUAUGACUCCAAAAGCUGACCAUGUUUGUCGCCUGAGUUGAUCUUUUGACCAGGUCUCAGUCACUCAUGAGUCAUCUGAUAGGCUUGGCUUGCUCAUGAAAUUGUACCACAGUUAUCUCCACUGCAACCCUCUGUGGAACUUACUGGAAAUCCAGAACAUGCAAAACAUCUAGGAAUGUUACCUGAUGAUGAAGCCACAAGCACACUACUUCUUUGUGAUUGAGCAUUUGGAUGACAAGUCUCAGCCAUGAUGCCAAGCCCCCGAAGUGUGUAGUUUUUCAGAGGAGAUAAAUUUUAAUGAUUUUUGGAAUGUGCUGAAUUGAAACUACCUUCCUAAUAAUUGCCAAGAUGUGUUGGCAGAUAAACUAAACAUUGUGCUGAAAGAGAGCAGCAUUUUAAAGCCUUGGUUGACAUCUUGCUUUUCUACCCAGCAGGCAGCCUGGCUUCCCAGCUGAGAGCUUUUCCCUACCCAGGGACAUUCUGGGGUCAAGUUCCUGCCUGCUUUUCUCUCUCAAAGCUUCAAAAUUAAAUAAGCAUGUUCUGAACAGCUUCGAGUCUUAUUCUGCUUUGGAAAUUUACAAGGUCUCACAGUCAGAGGGGAAAAAAAAUGAAGACAUUCUUACUGUAGAGAAACCUGUAGCCUCGGAUGCUAACAAUGCGGGUUUCUGGAAGUUCCAAUAAAAAACAAGACCACAGGCAGAGAGGCACAGGAUGUUUGUAAAUUAGCCAGGGGAGAGGCAGCGAUCCUGUUCACAGCCCUGGUGGGCUGUGUGCUGGGGAAAUCGUGUGACAAGUUCCAAAUCGUUUUUUCUGCCGUCUCAGGAGGCAGAGUAGUUCUAAGACUGAAGCUGGGAAGCCGCUGUCAAAAUUGAGCUCGAAAAGGCCCCUCUGCUGUCAGUGCUGACAGAGGAUCAUCAAAUACACUUCAAAAAUGAAGUCUCCCUUCGUGUUUCCGCGGCUGUGGCCAAACCUGUUGGGUUCCUGCCAGCAGUUAUGGGCGCCGUCUUGUAAAGGUGCCGCCCUGCUCUUGAGUAGUCCCUGACUGAGCAGUCUACACCGUGGAGGUGCCUGCCUGUGUGCAUGACAGCGUAGUCAUCUGGUCUGCAGAGCACGACUUCUUGGGCUGGCACCGGGAGAGAUAACAGAGAAUGCUGGUGUGGCGCUAAUGAGUGACUAGGUAGAGCCCAACUCUGACACCAGCCCCAGGAAAGAGGUGUUGGCAGCGCCCUUCAUGCCUUUAGGUUUACACAGCUCAGCUCAGGGGAAAUCGAUUUUUUUGGUAGUUACACCAUGCAACUCUGGGAACUAAAGAAGCCAGCAGCAUAAAAAUCCCCUUCUAGGUUUCCUCCUGCGGUUUGUCCUUCAGCAACAUUCUUUGUUCUACCUUGAAAUAACACAGACAGCGAUACACACCACAAGAGCAAGAUUCAUUUGCCAAACACAGCCAGACGCAUGAAUCACAGGACCGUUGAGAGAUGGGUUUUCAGCUUGUUACUGAGGCACCAAACAGGACUUGCAGCCCAGCCGGCAGGCUUUUUGUUCCCGAGCAGAUGUGAAAUGUGUUCUCUUCCACUGGUGAUGGGCCACAAGAGGUUGGGGGAACAGGCUUGGUUUAAUUCAAAGUCACCUGAAACCUUGUUUGAAGUUCAUUAAGGCAAUUCAAUUCAAUUCAGCAAACAUUUACAGAGCUGCCUUCUGGAGGUGGGGGGGGUGCUGCCUGUGCUUACAGCUUUGUGAGACCUCAGAUACCAAGGACUAGCCACCAGAAGCAUCUCUGCACAGCUUCUUCCCACCCGGCCUCAGUGACCCUCAGAAGACUACGGGGAAUCACUGGGACCUGGUCUUGAGGAUCCAGCUGGAUUGACUGUUCAGCAGGCCCCUAGGAUCCACCUGCCUCCUCCCAAGUGCUGGUAUUAGAAGCACAUGCCAGCAUGCCUGGCUUUUCAUGCAUGGGAUGUGGAGAGCAAACUCAAGUCCUCACGCUUGUAAGGCAGGCACUUCACUGGCAGGGCCCUCUCUCCAGCCAUCGCUGGCUUGCUCUGACCACUUGGUAUGAGCCAGCCCACAGAGCCAUUCCCUGGACUUUGUGAGUCCUAAGUCCCCGCCUCUGGGGUCUCCAUCCUCACUCUGGUCCACAAACUGUCAAUGCAUACGUCAGUGCUUCUCAACCGGGGGUAAGUUUGCUGCAGGGCAGGGGUGAUUUGGGAGCGUCUGGAGACAUCUGGUCACAAGGAAAGGUGAUACGGUGCUAAUGGCAUCUGGAAGAGGACAGGGAUACUACCUGAUGUCAAUGCGGUUCAGAGGUCACCCCCUACGAGAAGGCAUUAGAAAGCCCCAAAUGCCCACAGUGCUGUGACCGGGGAAUUCCGAGGUACAUCACGCAGUGUUUAACACUGCUGACCUAUUGUGAAUUCUGUGUUGCUGACACCCCACUUGGCUAACUCAACUGGGCUAAUCCAAUGCUUCUGAAUCCCGGCCACUAAGCACAACCUCCUCCCCAAGAAAGAUGCUUAAUGAGUAUAGCAGUGGUGAGAACUCACUUGUCUCUUCAUUCACAUACUCUAUCCUGGACUCACAGAUAGUUAUUGACUUUAAGGGGCAUUUCCUUUGUUUGUUUUGAGACAAAAUUUCUCUAUGUCAUUCAGGCUGACCUUAAACUCUCUAUCAUCCUGCCUUAGUCCCGUGAGUACUGGGACCAUGGGUUUGUCCCAACAUACCCAGCUUGAAUAUUUUUCUGGGGAUGUCAAGAUGGAUAGUAGGUAUGUGAUAUGAGCAAUAGAGACACGGUCCUACCUAAGGAAAUCUACAGUCUAACAGGGACAAAAGAGUGUGUCAGGGAGAUGUGUAGGGCAAGAAGCAAGGGGGACAGACCCGGGGCACCAGAGGGCAGAGGAUUCCUGGAGAAAGGGGCAAACCAGAACAUCUAGCAGAUGAGGAAGAGCUGAACCAAGAGGAGGAAGGUGUGUUCUAGGUGGGAAACAGUUUAGCAGUACUAAGACCAAGCAAUGGGAGAGCAACAUACAUCUGAGGCCAGAACUCAGGUGUAGGGCAGGGUGAAGACACAAAGGGCCUCCUGGCCAUGUAAGAGCACCGGAAGAGUAUGCCAAGGAUACAGAAGGCACUCAACAGCUGUAGGCAAAACUGCAGCGAGAUCUAAUCUUGUUUAUAGAGCAUCACUCUGGCCAAGAAAAUGCAAAGCAUAAAUUCAGAGAUCGCCACGUGCUUGCCAGUCAGGCCAGUAUGAAGGACACUGACAAGCGUCCUCAAGGAGGCGGAAGAGCAGGAACCUGUGCGCUGGUGUAAGAGUGUGACAUGUACCACAGUGUACAGCGGGGUUUCUGAAAACAAGAAAAGAGAACUACUGUAUGCUCCAGCAAUCUCAUUUCCGGGUGUACAUCCAAAAGAACUGAACUCAAUACCAUGAAGAGACAAGAAACAUCAACAUCCCCGUGUCUGCUGAAGCACUAGUCACUGUAGCUCCAAAGUAGAAGCAACCCAGAUGCCUGUGGAUGGGCAGAUAAUAAUAAGAAAAAAUGUGGGACUGAUACCUAGCAGAAUAGUAGUCAGUCUCAAAAAAAGAUGAAAGUCAGCCAAACUUGGUGGGCUGAGGCAAGAAGAUGGUGAGAUGGAGGCCAGCUUGGGCUACAUU